AAGGAGUCUAACAAAUAUGCGAGUAUUUGGGUGGUAAACCCUUAUGCGUAGUGAAAGCGAAAAGGUGGGAAUCUUUAUUGAUGCACCAUCGGCCGCGGUCAAUUAUUAUGAAUUGUGCGUGAGUAUGAGCAUAUAUGCUGGGACCCGAAAGAUGGUGAACUAUGCCUGAGUAGGGUGAAGCCAGAGGAAACUCUGGUGGAGGCUCGUAGCGGUUCUGACGUGCAAAUCGAUCGUCAAAUUUGGGUAUAGGGGCGAAAGACUAAUCGAACCAUCUAGUAGCUGGUUCCCUC
rnacentral:misc_RNA from 1 species